rnacentral:rRNA from 1 species
GUGCCAGCAGCCGCGGUAAUACGUAGGGGGCAAGCGUUGUCCGGAAUUAUUGGGCGUAAAGCGCGCGCAGGCGGUUCCUUAAGUCUGAUGUGAAAGGCCACAGCUCAGCUGUGGAGGGCCAUUGGAAACUGGGGAACUUGAGGACAGAAGAGGAGAGCGGAAUUCCACGUGUAGCGGUGAAAUGCGUAGAUAUGUGGAGGAACACCAGUGGCGAAGGCGGCUCUCUGGUCUGUAACUGACGCUGAGGCGCGAAAGCAUGGGUAGCGAACAGGAUUAGAAACCCUGGUGGUCC